rnacentral:rRNA from 1 species
CCUACGGGAGGCAGCAGUGAGGAAUAUUGGUCAAUGGACGAGAGUCUGAACCAGCCAAGUAGCGUGAAGGAUGACUGCCCUAUGGGUUGUAAACUUCUUUUAUACAGGAAUAAAACGAGGCACGUGUGCCUUUUUGCAUGUACUUCAUGAAUAAGGAUCGGCUAACUCCGUGCCAGCAGCCGCGGUAAUACGGAGGAUCCGAGCGUUAUCCGGAUUUAUUGGGUUUAAAGGGAGCGUAGAUGGGUUGUUAAGUCAGUUGUGAAAGUUUGCGGCUCAACCGUAAAAAUGCAGUUGAUACUGGCCGUCUUGAGUACAGUAGAGGUAAGCGGAAUUCGUGGUGUAGCGGUGAAAUGCGUAGAUAUCACGAAGAACCCCGAUUGCGAAGGCAGCUUACUGAACUGUAACUGACGUUGAUGCUCGAAAGUGUGGGUAUCAAACAGGAUUAGAUACCCCAGUAGUC